rnacentral:rRNA from 1 species
GUGGGGAAUAUUGGAUAAUGGGCGCAAGCCUGAUCCAGCCAUACCGCGUGGGUGAAGAAGGCCUUCGGGUUGUAAAGCCCUUUUGUUGGGAAAGAAAUCCUAUCGAUUAAUACUCGGUGGGGAUGACGGUACCCAAAGAAUAAGCACCGGCUAACUUCGUGCCAGCAGCCGCGGUAAUACGAAGGGUGCAAGCGUUAUUCGGACUUACUGGGCGUAAAGCGUGCGUAGGUGGUUGUUUAAGUCUGCUGUGAAAGCACUGGGCUCAACCUGGGAAUUGCAGUGGAUGCUGGGCAACUAGAGUGUGGUAGAGGGAUGCGGAAUUUCGGGUGUAGCAGUGAAAUGCGUAGAGAUCAGAAGGAACAUCCGUGGCGAAGGCGGCAUCCUGGGCCAACACUGACACUGAGGCACGAAAGCGUGGGGAGCAAACAGGAUUAGAUACCCGAGUAGUCC